CCUACGGGAGGCAGCAGUAAGGAAUCUUCCGCAAUGGGCGAAAGCCUGACGGAGCAACGCCGCGUGGGCGAUGAAGGCCUUCGGGUCGUAAAGCCCUUUUCUGUGGGACGAUAAUGACGGUACCACAGGAAUAAGCCACGGCUAACUACGUGCCAGCAGCCGCGGUAAUACGUAGGUGGCGAGCGUUGUCCGGAGUUAUUGGGCGUAAAGGGCGUGUAGGCGGCCAGAUAAGUCAGUAGUGAAAAACCGCAGCUUAACUGCGGGACUGCUAUUGAAACUGACUGGCUUGAGGGCACCAGAGGAGAGCGGAAUUCCCGGUGUAGCGGUGAAAUGCGUAGAUAUCGGGAGGAACAUCAGUGGCGAAGGCGGCUCUCUGGGGUGCAACUGACGCUGAGGCGCGAAAGCUAGGGGAGCGAACGGGAUUAGAUACCCCUGUAGU
rnacentral:rRNA from 1 species